UAAGUGCUACAAAAUAUGAGUAUGACUUUAUUUGUCCUCAUAAGUCCCACUGGAUGUUGAGAGCAACGACACAAAAAUGUGAUAAUCAGGAGUUUUACCACUGUUUGUAUGAUAUAAACACGAAGAAAAUCAGUGAAAAAUGAUUUCGGCCUGAUGAUUAUCCACAAGGAUACCACGGCGUUCUGAGUGGUAAACCUCAUGCAGCGACAUGUUCUGAUGGAUAUUUUGCACCGAAAGUUUCUUGGUCGUACGUGGACUUUAAAUGUCCAUACCAAAAAUCUGUAUGCAGUGAAGAGGGUCAAAUCGUAGUGAACAACGGAUCAAACAAAGAAGACAUUAAAUGUAGAUGUGAUUAUAGAAAAGGAUAUGCAUUCAUUCAUAAUCCUCAAAAUAAUUGCACGUGUUCUCCAUGGACAGAAGACUGUUCGUGUCAUCGAAUACACUGCAAAAACAACAGUUUCAUUUUUUCCGAAGAUUACACAUGUGUACCAAAAGAUCAAGUUCAUUCUGAGCAGAAAUGUACAACGAUUCCAAUGCAU